CCUACGGGAGGCUGCAGUGGGGAAUUUUGCGCAAUGCUCGUAAGAGUGACGCAGCGACGCCGCGUGAAUGACGAAGGCCUUCGGGUCGUAAAGUUCUUUCGACAGGGAAGAAAAUGCCUAUAAGUAACUGUGUAUGUAUUGACGGUACCUGUAUAAGCAGCCCCGGCUAACUCCGUGCCAGCAGCCGCGGUAAUACGGAGGGGGCGAGCGUUGUUCGGAGGGACUGGGCGUAAAGAGCACGUAGGCGGUGUUGUAAGUCAUUAGUCAAAGACUAGAGCUCAACUUUAGUAAGGCUAGUGAUACUAUAAUACUAGAGUAUCAGAGAGGAUUGCAGAAUUGCUGGUGUAGCGGUGAAAUGCGUAGAUAUCAGGAGGAAUACCGUUAGCGAAGGCGGCAAUCUGGCUGGAAACUGACGCUGAGGUGCGAAAGCGUGGGUAGCAAACAGGAUUAGAUACCCUUGUAGUC
rnacentral:rRNA from 1 species